rnacentral:rRNA from 1 species
GUCUACAGCCCUACCACCCUGAACACACCCAAUCUCAUCUGAUCUCAGAAGCUAAGCGGGGGUGAGGCCUGCUUAGUACUUGAGUGGGAGAACUGAGAAAUGAAAACC